GGAGCGGGGUGGCGAGAAAUCCGGCGUAACGCGGUGGAUGUGUGGACUAGGGCCUCGCCUGAACUUUCAUCCCCAUACGUCACGGGUCUGUAUAGUCAAGACGCAUCAUCGCCUGACAACGACGUCGGGUAACGCAACUUGUCUGUAGUUAGGCUUAGUGCCGGGGGGUGUAUGGUGGGGAAGACGACCACAGCUCAAGUAAUUGUCUUGUACAAUCGGACCCUGCUGACGUUCGGGCUGCCUGCCACCGUCGCGAGUCCCCGCUGCGGCCGCCCACAA
rnacentral:lncRNA from 1 species